CCAGAGACUAGAGUCACAUCCUGACACAGCUCUUGUCCUGGGGUGCUCGAGUCUUCAGAGAGAAUCUGCUGGUCUUGAUUCCCCAGCGGGGAAUCCAGCAGUGCCCAGUCAGAAACGUGC